rnacentral:sRNA from 1 species
ACCUGCUGUGCUAAGUGAAUCCCAGGUUGUUAAGAGUUUCCAGUUUUCAGUUAACAGAAUUCAUAGCUUUAUUUUUACGAAUUUCAGGUGGUUUUCAUGAGCCUAUGCAAAAGUUUCUGGGACUGUGGGCUUGUAGCCCUGGAUGACAUUACAAUACAAUUGGGAAGCUGCUCAUCUUCAGAGAAACUUCCACCUCCACCUGGAGAGUGUACUUUCGAGCAAGAUGAAUGUACAUUUACUCAGGAGAAAAGAAACCGGAGUAGCUGGCACAGGAGGAGGGGAGAAACUCCCACUUCCUACACAGGACCAAAGGGAGAUCACACUACUGGGGUAGGUGAGUUAUGCCACGUGGUGCUGUUUCCUAAGGAAAGCUUCUAAAAUAGCAUUCUAGGAAUCAUUUACUGCAUUUUGAAAUAUGCAAAAUUAUGUCUUGUGUCUAGAAUGAAAUGCACUUGUGAUUCUACACACACAGGAUGAUUCAAUAU